rnacentral:rRNA from 1 species
GACGAACGCUGGCGGCGUGCCUAACACAUGCAAGUGGAGCGACGAACCAGGGCUUGCCCUGGGGCAAAGCCGCGAACGGGUGAGUAACACGUGGGUAACCUGCCCCGAUGACCGGGACAACCCGAGGAAACUCGGGCUAAUACCGGAUGUGCUCUUCACACAUCAGUGGGUUGAGUAAAGGAAGCUUCGGCCCCCGCUUCGGGAGGGGCCCGCGGCCCAUUAGCUAGUUGGUGAGGUAAAGGCUCACCAAGGCAACGAUGGGUAGCUGGUCUGAGAGGACGAUCAGCCACACUGGGACUGAGACACGGCCCAGACUCCUACGGGAGGCAGCAGUGGGGAAUCUUGCGCAAUGCGCGAAAGCGUGACGCAGCAACGCCGCGUGGGGGAAGAAGGCCUCCGGGUUGUAAACCCCUUUCAGGAGGGACGAAGGUUCGGCCGCGAAUAGCGGUCCGGACUGACGGUACCUCCAGAAGAAGCCCCGGCUAACUACGUGCCAGCCGCCGCCGUAA